rnacentral:lncRNA from 1 species
AUUGUUGGCACCUGCAUGCAUGUGCACACACAUGUAUGUUUACUUAUACACAUGUGCACAUGCACACAUAUUCAUGCAUUCCCUCCUUCUGUCACUUAGGCUUUAAAGUGCAAAUCCUGGUAUGCGAUGACAAUGCUGGAAGGUUCUCUGGCCCCAGUGGCCCAUCUCCCAGAGCAUCUGUAGUCUUCAGACUUCUUGGUUCUAGAACAUGCUUGGCAGCCAUCCUGUGGUAUGUUUCUGCUCAAGCAAAAUUUGCCUUUAGCACCAGUGUCUCACUCGGUGCUUCUGCUGUUCCCUAGCACCUGUCUUAUUUUCAGGGAACAGCCAUUGUUAGAGGAGAGGUCAAAGAGCUGAGCUGCAGUGACUUUGUGGGUGUGCCCCAGAAAGAUCAUUCUUUCUACUGACAAAGCAAACAAAUCUUAAGUAGUGAACUGUGAAAUGGUUAUGAUGUUGAUGGAUGCCACCUCACCUGAAUCAAUAUGUCGAGGAAGAAUGACAGUUGGGCCAAUGAAUAUAGAACUCUGCUUGGAUUUAGCUGAGCAAAUAUCCCGGGAUUGUGGUGUGUGCUGUUGGGGAAUCCUGGGACUGCGCUCAGAAGCCUCUUUAUAAGUGAGCUCAAUGGCCACACUGUGCAUCCGCGUACCAGUGGCCCAGUGUAACGAGGAGAGAGCCUCCUCUUGUGGAGGUACUUCAGCCAGGGGAGACCCAUGGAGAAGUCUGCCCAGCCGAUUGGAUGUCAUAGACCCUAUGACCAAGACAAGUUCAGCUGCUUUCAGAAGUCCUUCCAAAACCUGCGUGCUAUGUAUCUGUCACUUCUCCAGUCAGAACAGAAGCAUAGCUGGAAACCUUUUAGAAGUUCAAAGAAGCCCAUAGAUGGACAGAGAGUGACUCCAACCCUGCUUGUGGUAUCCAUGGUACUCUGAACGUUUUACUUCUGUUGUAUUGGCUGAGACUUGUACAGGUGGACAGCUGCUAAUGUAGAAAUUCCUUUUUUUUUUUUUUUUUGCAUUUCAAGUCACUAUUUGAUAACUUAAAAAUAUGUGUACAUUUAAAACAUUAUACCUACUCUUCUCUUUCAAUUCCUUCCAGAUGCCCCCUUCCAGCAUGUUCCUUCCUUACUUUGUGUCUCUUUUGGUAGAAGUAUCAGUUCUUACUGGAGACAUUUUGAUAGCUGGUGAGCUCCCACUGAAUGCCUUACUACUUAGUCCCUGAUUUCUGAGGGUAAAUGAAACAUACUUCUUAGCUUUAUCUAAAACAUCAUCUAUACCGAAGCAACCAAACUUGUGAGUAACGGUCCUGAAAUCUCUUGAAUUUCUUAGAAUUUUCUUUGAGAUGGUUUUGCAUUGUUGGUGAGAUCAUAGUUUUAUCAUUAUAUUAUUAAAGUCAACCAAGUAUGUUGACUCUCAGAUGAAUGUACGUGUGGUGCAAGCAAAUGACUCACACCAUUGAGAACCUGCA